rnacentral:tRNA from 1 species
GGGGCCGUGGUCUAGCUAGGUAUGACGUCGGGCUCCAGAAAGCAUGGCUUCGGGUUUGCUGACCGGAGACGGGAUGAAGAGUUUUUGGAGCGGAAACCCGAAUGUCGAGGGUUCAAAUCCUUCCGGCCCCA